CAUAAGUACAGACUUAGUAAUCUCCGGUGCAGCGUUCGUCGACCGUUUCCGCGGCCAUCGAUCCUCAUUGUGUUCGGCCGUUAUGUUUGCCCGGGACUACCGUUCGUGUAACGAGACGCUGCAGGUUUCCUCGGGUUUUUAUUCGCGAGUUCCUCCGAGGUCGCGUAUACAGGCGCGUCGCUAUUGCCAUCGUUAUUGUUAUCUACACCGACGACGUUCAC